UUACAAGUCGCUUAAUACAAAUAAAUUUACUUCAGUGUGGCAAAAGAAGUAUUGUGAGAAAAUUAAAUGAUGGGAAUGUUUUUAUUUCAGAAAUCUUGUUCCUGUACAUAAGUAUAUGACAAAUAAUAUUGCUCUUAUCAUGUUACUAAAGCCUGUCAGAAACCCAGAGCAUAGACAAAAGAACAUCGUUUUUCUGUAUAGUUUUUCAUUCUUUUGCUUUUCAUCAAGAGGUGCUUUCCAGAGACCCAGUCUCUAAUGUCUUUAUAAUCAAAAGCCUCUGUCUGGAAAAACAUAUGCAAAGGAUGUCAUAAGCCACAGCCACACAUCACCCUCCUAUAGUGGAAUCAGAGUGUAAAGGGAUGCUAGCUGAAGACACUCAGAGCUGAAGGGUCCUGAGAAGAAAAUGAACAGGAUGUUGCCUUCCCAGGAGUGCAGUAGGCAUUUAGUUCCCUGUGAAGAAGAACUGAUACACUGAAAGCUUGGAGUAAGCACCCUGGAGAAGCUGUGCAGGCAUGAACCACAGCAGCUGCUGCAAUGAAACCUGCUUGUCCAACACAAAGACAGAUCUCUGUGCCGUCACAGAUGCAUGAAUUGACACAGCAAGGAAAUGAGGCAGUAAGUUUCCAACAGCUGAUAACCACACUCAGCCCAGGGCUUUGACUAAAUAAUCUCCACUUCACUUGACUUCUUACAUCUUUCCAUUUGCUUUUCUAUAAAAUUGGUCAUCAU
rnacentral:lncRNA from 1 species